rfam:Glycine max cultivar Williams 82 chromosome 8, whole genome shotgun sequence.
AUGGAGCUUUGUUGGCAAAAAUCCAUCCAUGGCUCUUAAAGAAGCUUGGAGGAUUUUGUGUGAGAGGGUUCUCACCCUUCACACUCCACCUCCUACAGUUUGCUUAUGCUUUAGCCAUUGGUUUCUCUAAUCAAUCACCACAAAAGGGUAUACAUGGAGGAACAUAAUUCUCUGAGUGGCAUGAAGCAGAGAAGCUAUGGCCACAUCUUAGCAAACCGGCAAGUCACAAAAAGGCAAUGGACUCUCUCUCAUUAAAGGGUCCU